AACAGGGGAGCUGGGAAGACCGGCUGAGAGGAAGCAGAACGAUGCUUCGACCCAUAAUACCUGAUGUGGAUAAUGCCAACGUAGGAAGAGGAG
rnacentral:ncRNA from 1 species